GUGGAUAGGGGUGAAAGGCCAAUCAAACUUCGUGAUAGCUGGUUCUCUCCGAAAUGCAUUUAGGUGCAGCGUCUUGUGUUUCUUCAUGGAGGUAGAGCUACUGGAUGGCCGAUGGGCCCUAAAAGGUUACUGACGUCAGCCAAACUCCGAAUGCCAUGAAGUGAGAGCAAGGCAGUGAGACUGCGGGGGAUAAGCUUCGUAGUCGAAAGGGAAACAGCCCAGACCACCAACUAAGGACCCCAAGCGUUUGCUAAGUGGAAAAGGAUGUGGAGUUGCACAGACAACCAGGAUGUUGGCUUAGAAGCAGCCACCAUUAAAAGAGUGCGUAAUAGCUCACUGGUCAAGUGAUUCCGCGCCGACAAUAUAACGGGGCUCAAGCAGACCUCCGAAGUUGUGGCAUUUGUACAUUGCCCGGCUGUAAGGUCCAGGCGUACAGAUGGGUAGGAGAGCGUCGUGUGGCGAGCGAAGCGGCGGUGUGAACCAGCCGUGGAUGCCACACGAGUGAGAAUUCAGGAAUGAGUAGCGAAAUGCGGGUGAGAAACCCGCACUCCGAAAGACUAAGGGUUCCAGGGCCAGGCUAAUCCGCCCUGGGUAAGUCGGGACCUAAGACGAGGCCGACAGGCGUAGUCGAUGGACAACGGGUUGAUAUUCCCGUACCGGCGAAGAACCGCCCAAACUAAACCAGUAAUGCUAAGAGCAUGAAAUCGGUGUGAUCUCUUCGGAGUGAUCACUGGUGGAGCGCUCGACCCUACGCUGGCACGGUUAACGUAUUAACAGGUGUGACGCAGGAAGGUAGCCUCCGCGGGGCGAUGGUUGUCCCCGUUUAAGGAUGUAGGGCGAGUGAUAGGCAAAUCCGUCACUCAUAUGCCUGAGAUCUGAUGAUGAGUCCGCAAGGACGAAGUGGGUGAUCCUAUGCUGCCAAGAAAAACAUCGACGUGAGGUUCCAGCCGCCCGUACCCUAAACCAACUCAGGUAGUCAGGUAGAGAAUACUAAGGAGAUCGAGAGAAUCGUGGUUAAGGAACUCGGCAAAAUGGCCCCGUAACUUCGGGAGAAGGGGCGCCUGAGGCGUGUAUGGAUUUACUCCAAAAGCGCUGUAUGGCCGCAGAGACCAGUGAGUAGCGACUGUUUAUCAAAAACACAGGUCCGUGCGAAGUCGCAAGACGAUGUAUACGGACUGACGCCUGCCCGGUGCUGGAAGGUUAAGAGGACGGGUUAGCAAUUUAUUGCAAAGCUCGGAAUUUAAGCCCCAGUAAACGGCGGUGGUAACUAUAACCAUCCUAAGGUAGCGAAAUUCCUUGUCGGGUAAGUUCCGACCUGCACGAAUGGCGUAA
rnacentral:rRNA from 1 species